rnacentral:misc_RNA from 1 species
GCAGAGUUAAUUCAAGAUCUACUUCGGGGUUGUGAAGAAAACGCAGUGGGAGAAACAAAAUUCUUUCAAUGCACAAAAUUCACUUGAUCAUUUUAAAUUAUCACAAUCUUGAAUGCCAAAUGUACAAAAUGUACAACAGUGUCAAACAGAAGAACUGAUUCUCAGCCAAAACAUUAGCAACCUCCAGGAGAGUCAAUUUGCAACAAAUGCUUGUGGAAACUUAGCAGAGAAAAGAGAACAGUCAUAAUCUGAGCAUCUAUUUUACACCAGUUGCCCAAGUUUUUGACAACAAUUUGGUUGUAAUGUACAGCGAUUGCACAUAAGAGGCAAGCAAAAAUGGAAGAAUACUCUCACAAGUCGACUGCAGAAGGAUAUCAGUGGUUGUGAUGUGUUGUUUCCUCAGUGAUUCACGAAGAUGUGAAAUAUCUUCCUGAGCAAUGAGACAACCUUUUGCAUUACUAAAGAGCCGCUUUUCUUCAGCGUGUGAUUCUGAAAUUUCUGAUGCAGGAGGCAACUGAUUUUCUCCAGAUCGACUUUCGGAGCUUCCCCCAUCUUUGGGUUGAUCAUCUGGAUCCUCUUUCUUUUUCUCCUUUUCACUAUGACUCCCUCCAGUGCCGUCUUUAGGGAUACCGCGGACCAAAUCUGGUCGAGCUUCAACCCCAACUCGUCGCAGGUGUAGCUGAAGAUGCAAGUUGACUUCAUCUGGGCGAGAAAGAAAUGGGAAAUCGCCUCCUGUCUUCAAGUAAGCUCUCCUUGCUUCAGGAUAUCUUUCACUCAGUUGGUCUUUGAGCUGUUGAGGAAUUGCACAAUAGUCGUUUGUCUUCAAGGAGGAAGCGGUAAACAUGCCAUAAGAUCAAUAUAGUUAUUAGCAAAAGUUUUCAUUUUCCUCUUGCAGCAUCAAGCAGUAAUCAAAUUCAGAGAGGAGUGGAAUUGUUGUUCUGUAAAGAAAAAUCAGUUAUGGAUCUGCUUCUUUAAAAUGAAAAACACCUUAUUUUUACCAAUCAGGGCUGAGCUGAUACAGCCCUCCACAAACCUUGUUCUUUGGACUCUAAUAAUGCAUGGUUGGUUGAAAGAUAUCCCAAUGCACAUGUAUAGAACAAGCUUGGAAUAACUUACAUCCAUAAUAGUGAUAUGUGAGUAUGAAAGUAGAAGAGAUCCAACUGAAGCAGCAUCAAUAUUCAAGGUCAACCCGGAGGCCAUGUCUUCUCUUGAAAGUAUUUCAACCUGAAUUACUAAUCACAAAUCACAAAAUUGAAGGAUUGGCCAUAGUUAAUUCCAACUAUUUUCAUGUAGCAGAUGUUUAAAUUGGCAACAAAGAGUGCUCCAUUUGUGUUGCGGAAAAUAUUUUCUGUAUUUUUUCACAUUUAGCAUGCCCAAAGAAAUGAGUCCAUGUAAGAGGAAAACCUUGGCAAAUUUGGGGAAAACAACACAGUCCCAAGGCAUCGUACCAAGUCUGUUGUAUUUAACGCAAAGACUGCUGGAAGACUCCAAGAAACCAUAUGCCAACAAUCACUUCUAUUAUUUGAAUGUUGAUUAUCUUGUGUUCUCCAGUGGUUUAAAUAGCAAGGAGAAAGCCUAUGAAUAAGAAUGGAAUAUCCUUAAUUGAUAAAAUGCCUAUAAAUAAGAAUGACAAAUUGGUGAAUUGUGAUUGGCCUAUAAAAAUAACAUUGGUUCUUUUGUUUUUUUAUCCCAACCUAAUGAUCGAGUUGAAAAUCUUAUGCAACUUCAUUCCUUUGGGCUUUCAUAAACAUUUAACAAGAAUCAGUAGUUCUGAUCUCCACAACCUACACGUCUGCAGCAGAACAAUCUGAGCAGUGAUUUUUGAGAAUACAGAAAUGAAAAAGAUCAUGAUAGAUUAAACAACUUUAGAAGCACACAUCUUACAGCAUGGAAUCGAAAAAGAUUAGAAAAAUAUUAAAUGCAUCAAAGGAGGCUUGCUUAAAGACAGAAUAGAGAUUACACUUCAGCAAAGCAUAAAGAAUCAUGUUGAAGACCCUACCCGAGAAACAACAAAGUCCACAGAAUCUGCAAUAAAUGGUUCAUGAGGACCAUCACGAAUUCCAGUUAAAACAUACCUUUUCAGCAAAAAUGAAGGGGUCCAGCUGACACUGCAUGAAAAAUAUCCAAGCCAAUUUUAUUGAGAAAAUUUGUUAAUUUGUACAUGGUUACACAGAACAUAUCAGGCAAAAAUUAUGACAAAAACAUAACUGAGAUUAGAACCAGGAAGUAAUAGUUGAUACCAAAUGAUAUUAUAAACCAAUUACCAGAUAAUUUUACAAUUUUAGGCUGCCUUGUGCACUUUGGUAAACACAAAAACUCAUCAACCCGCCCCCUCUUUCCCAGUCCCUUUUGCCAGCAUAUUGUGGUCAGUUGCUAUAUAGAUGCAACUCAGUAAAAAAAGCUGGAUUUCUAUGACUUCAUAAAUUACCAGGCAGAUGUAUUCAUGCACUUCGCUUAACACUUUCGUUCUCAACUCAACUCAACUACAACUGUUAAGCCCAAACUAUUACACAAAAUAAUGAUACACACUUUUGAAUCUAACUUCAGCACAUAAAUAUAUAAGUUAAUCAAUAAAUAUAUUAUGACACAUUUUAUACUAAUAACAUCAUAGCCUCUUCAUAUUUUACAGUCAUUUCCCUUGUUUAUUAACCAUGCCAUACCAUAUCCUUCUAGCAUGUGGUGCCUUUAGAAAAAAAAUUUGAUGACGUCCUUUCAACUGUGUACAAUGAACACAACAUUUCAUGCAUAUGAUUUCUCAUCAUGUGAAGCAAUGGAUAUUGCAUUCUGAUACAGAAAAUGCCAAUUAUAUAACAAAUGAAACACACAGUUAAUACACAAAUAAAGAUGGGCAUCAUAAAUGACCACAUACACAGGAGCCCAUGGCAUUGCAGCUGCAAAACUGCGUGUGUCCAAGAAUGUAUUUGAUAGUAUCAAUGAUCUCACUCGUCUUGGACGAUGCUGUGCAAAAAGUUGUGCUAAGAAACCACCAAGAGAUGUGCCAUAAAGAUGUAUAUGAUGAACAUCAAUGACAUCCAAGAAUUUUUCAAAUGCUUGAACCCACUCAUGAUGAUUCCAUACACGAGGAAUAUCAACGGAAAUAACCCGAUAACCCUUCAUGGACAAUGACAUAAUUUGUUUAUAGUAAACAUCAGCUGUCCCUGCUAUUCCAGGAAGGCAAAUCAAUGGCGGAACCACUUUAGGACCAAAAUCAUAGUAACGCCACUGCUUCGUGCCAAUAGGGAUCUUGUGGAGAGGAACUUGAGACUUGAAGUAAACAUAAUCACCGGGCGCCGAGAAGACGCCUUUCAUUGCUAAUAAUCUCGGCUUCUAACAUAAAAUCUCAUAUGAGGGGGAAGAAAGGAUAUCAGAUUUGAUAGAAGAAAUGAAUCACUGUUAUUAUUAAUCCUUUUUUUUUUUGGGUAUCAAUUUGGGUCGCUAUUAUUUUGACAAUUUGGGUUUGAU